UGAAUGGGCAGCUCUGAGGAUAUAGCUGGGAGGAGACGGAGGAGCAGAAACUGUAUUGCAGACAGGAGAAGAAGAGAAGGAACAGGAAGAGGAGGAGGAGGAAGAAGAUAAAGAGAAGGAGGGAGAAGAAGAAAAGAAACAAAAUUCCCCACUCUCUCGAAGACAGACCCUGAUGAAGUGGCGCCUGAUUCAGUGAUUUGUGACCCCUAAUGGCCCUGGCGCCUCACCCCAAAUGGCCAGGCUCAGGUCAGGAGAAAUAGUGUCACAAGAUUUACUACCUCAGGGUAUAUUGUUGGAGAGAUGGAGACCUUAAGGCCCUGCUCUGGCCAGUUAUAGUAGCUGGGGAGGCUGGGACAGUCCUCAGGUACACAGGGAGGGGACUGGAGUAAGCCCAGUGCUGGCAGGCCAGGAUUUUCUCCUUGUAUGAUAUAGCAUGUGUGUGCUGGUGGGAGUGGGGGCGGGGUGUGGGCUCCUGAACCCUCCAGUCUGGGCCUGCUUUAGCCUAGGCUCACUGCAAUAGACCCCUCUGGGGCAGCUGGCAGGCUGACAAAGGGGCUGUUUACUUUCUUCAUUUCUCUUUGGGAAAGAAAAACAAAAAACAAACAAAAAGACAAGAUAGCUGGCUGACAUUAUCUCACCACCCAGGGUGAGAAGAGAUCCCACUUUCCCUGCCUCUCUGUCUCUUCUAUUUCCCCCAGGGCUGGGGGAUGCCCUCCAUCUGCCUCAGAGGACCAAGACCCAGUUUUCGCCUGACACGUAGAACUCUGAUAGGCAGGCCUUCUAGUCUUGGCUUACAUCCCUCCCAUGGCAGUGUCUCUGAGAGACUAUGAAAUGAUUAAUAAACAACAGACUUUGGAUACAGGUCUAAGAGGUAGUGGCCAAGGGAGGAUGGAGGGAUUUGAUAGUAAGCUGGAACUGGCCAGGCAGACAUCAUGCCAUUAGUCCCACAGCUGUGACAGUUUUUUAGGGUCCUGCCAGUUAACAAGAUGCAGGUUCCCGCUUAAGGACAUCCUUCUAGAACAAGCUUUGUGGGGCCGAGGGAGGAAUACAAGUAGAGAGCACAGAUAGGGCCCAGAGCAGGGAGGGUAGCUGGGAAAGGUGUCUCUUCUUAAACCUUCCUUGGCUCAGCCAGACCUGGCCAUUCCCCACCACCCUUCUUUCAGAAGCAGAAGUCUCCCCUGUCUCCUCAGUCAGCCCUGCAUCUUUCACUUGGCUUGUUUUCCCAGUCAGGUGAAGGCAGGACUGAGGUUUGUAGCCCACACCAUCUGUGUGGAGCACCCUGCAUUUCUCCCAGGUUCUUCAGGGUGGAGCUUCAUCUUUCUUUGGCCUCUUGGACCCAGGUGAGUGAAGACUGGCCCUUCUCGGGGUCCAGACUUGUGUUGGGUAAAGAGAAGAGUUUAAAACCAAGAACUUCCCCUCCCAGGGGGCUCUGUUUUACAGCAGGGCUAAAGUUCCACAGAAGAGACACUGAGAGCAGAUUGGAGUUUGUGACAUUGCAUGGGGUGAGGGUGGGGGUGCUUCAGGACCAGAACGGAUCUUCCUGAGUUCUGGGAUCCUAUAGGUCUGUCUACCCUUAGUAUGAGGCACCAGAGGCCUAGUCAAAUGAGUUGCACAUAAACCUUUCCCAGGCUCAGCCUGUCCCCGCCUCCUCAUACUCUG
ensembl:lncRNA